rnacentral:rRNA from 1 species
AUGUGCUUAAAGAUCAAAAUCCAAAGUCCUCAAAAUCCUCCAAGAUUUCCACUAUAUCUUCCUAACUUAGUUCCAUUCGAUGUUGCCCUAACACUUCCACUCGGAGCCACCAAACCAGCAAGAUAUAUCAACUCAAUUGUUCCAAACCCUAGUUCAAUCAGAGCCUCCAACAUCCCAUUCGCAGCCACCAAAGCAACUUGGCAAACCUUCUGUUCUCACAUUAGAAUUCCCGAGAAAAUCAAGUCGAAAAUUCCGAAGCAUCAACACAGAGUGUGCCAGUGCCAAGUUACUCAUCUCAGAUCCACCGAUUCAAAUCAUGUGGACCUACCAAUGAAUCUAAAAGUUGGCACUUUUAUUCAACUCGAAGCCAUCGAGCAAAACCAGUCGGAGCCUCUAAGUUGUGCUUAA